GGGGUGAAUUUGUAUAGGAAUGAUAUUUCUGGGGUUAAUUUUGUAAAUACAUGGAAUUCUUUGGGCUAACAUUUUGGCUUUAGAUUUCCUGUGAAAGUAGUGCUGCAAGGGAACCUUGUGAUGGAAGUGAUUCAUUGGUUGGUUUAGCCUUUAGAGUAGGGUGUGGGGUUGGGUUGGUUGGUUUAGCCUUUAGAGUAGGGUGUGGGGUUGGGUUAGGGCAUCCAUCUAAAAGGACAAAAUUACCCCCUUGUGCUUGUUGGGUACAUUUUCAUAUUUUAUUGAACUCUUGAAGAGUAUCUCAUGAAUUAAGAAAUUUAAGUAGGUUGGGCAUUAAAAUUUGUAAUUUCUCAAUUGAAAUUUAAUAUCAUAA
rnacentral:lncRNA from 1 species